CCUACGGGUGGCAGCAGUGGGGAAUUUUGGACAAUGGGCGCAAGCCUGAUCCAGCUAUUCCGCGUGUGGGAUGACGGUCCUCGGGUUGUAAAACACUUUAUUAGAGAACGAAAAGGAGCGAUCGAAUAAAUCACCCCGCUGACGGUACUCUAAGAAUAAGCACCGGCUAACUACGUGCCAGCAGCCGCGGUAAUACGUAGGGUGCGAGCGUUAAUCGGAAUUACUGGGCGUAAAGGGUGUGCAGGCGGUUGAGUAAGGCUGAUGUGAAAUCCCCGGGCUUAACCUGGGAAACGCAUAUGAUACUGGUUGGCGAGAGUGCGGCAGAGGGAGGUGGAAGUCCACGUGUAGCGGUGAAAUGCGUAGAUAUGUGGAAGAACACCGAGGGCGAAGGCAGCCUCCUGGGACGCAACUGACGCUGAGGCACGAAAGCGUGGGGAGCGAACAGGAUUAGAUACCCCUGUAGUC
rnacentral:rRNA from 1 species